rnacentral:rRNA from 1 species
GAAAGCGAUGCUAAUACCGGAUGACAUCUCAAUAACUCCGGUCUUUGAGAUCAAAGGUGGCCUCUCCAUGGAGAGCUACUGUUUGGAGAUGAGCCCGCGUACCAUUAGCUUGUUGGUAGGGUAAUGGCCUACCAAGGCGACGAUGGUUAGCUGGUCUGAGAGGAUGAUCAGCCACACUGGAACUGACACACGGUCCAGACUCCUACGGGAGGCAGCGGUGAGGAAUUUUGCGCAAUGGGGGAAACCCUGACGCAGCAACGCCGCGUGAGUGAUGAAGGCUUUCGGGUCGUAAAGCUCUGUCAAGUGAGAAGAACCUGUCCUUUGCUAAUAUCACUGGGCACUGACGGUAUCACUGAAGGAAGCACCGGCUAACUCCGUGCCAGCAGCCGCGGUAAUACGGAGGGUGCAAGCGUUAUUCGGAAUCACUGGGCGUAAAGAGCGCGUAGGCGGGUUUCUAAAGUCAGAUGUGAAAGCCCGGGGGCUCAACCCCGGAAGUGCAUUUGAAACUUA